UACGUAGGUGACAAGCGUUGUCCGGAUUUACUGGGUGUAAAGGGCGCGUAGGCGGGAUAGCAAGUCAGUCGUGAAAUGCCGAGGCUUAACCUCGGAGCUGCGAUUGAAACUGUUAUUCUUGAGUAUCGGAGAGGAAAGCGGAAUUCCUAGUGUAGCGGUGAAAUGCGUAGAUAUUAGGAGGAACACCAGUGGCGAAGGCGGUUUUCUGGACGACAACUGACGCUGAGGCGCGAAAGUGUGGGGAGCAAACAGG
rnacentral:rRNA from 1 species